GCUGCUUGAAGCAAUUUAAUACGGUUGGACCCUGCAGAGGAUGCAUAACCAACAAAACUCAGCAAGCGAGAGCUGACUGGCUCCGAAUGGACCGCCAGUGCCGCACAGCCAUGCGAGGCCUGAUGGCAAAUGGGGCUUCAGGUUUUCACCUUCCUCGUGGAACUCUCCUUCAGGAAGCAGGGACUCUCCAGUGGGAUCAUCAGGAGGAGUUAGAGUAGGGAUAUUCUUCUCAGAGACCUGGCCUCGGCAACGGAGGAAACAAAACCCUAGGGUCCGAGAGGACCGGAGUUCAAGAGGACAGCUCCUUCAUGCUUGGAGUGGAGCCCGAACUCUGUUCAAACCACUCACAGCACAUAUGGAAGGCCUGGCCUAUCAAACAAGGUGGGGUGGUGUAAGGAUUUGGAGUCAGACUCCCUGCAUGCACUUCUUGGCUCUGCCACUGUUUGUGUUGUCCUGGGAACUCACUUACCUAAACCUCAGUUUUUAUAGGUAAAAUGGAGAUAACGUUUUGCACCUCAGAAGGCUGUUGAGAGAACCAAAUGCUGACAUAGGUGGCUCAUGCGUAAGGAGGUCAGUGUAAGAGGAACACACAAGGAAAACUGGCCCAUUUGAAAGAAGGACCUGCAUUCCAGAGAAGAGAGAGCCACCCAAGGUCAUUGAUUAGUUGUCAGCCAAAAGGGAGAAGCAGUGAAUCCACUAGAAAAUUUCUGGUGAGUUCUGUGCCUCAAUUCCUGCACGCUUGCUACAGAAGAGGGCAGGCCUCAGUGCUGGGCCCCUGUACCAUCUUCUCUGAAGAGCCUGGAGGACAGAUCAUGAGUGGAGGGGUAGGUUCCAG
ensembl:lncRNA